rnacentral:rRNA from 1 species
GACGAACGCUGGCGGCGUGCUUAACACAUGCAAGUCGAGCGGCAAGGCCCUUUCGGGGGUACGACGAGCGGCGAACGGGUGAGUAACACGUGGGUGACCUCGCCCUCCAGCUCUGGGAGUAAGCCUGGGAAACCGGGGUACUAAUACCGGAUAUGACUCCAUGACGCAUGUUGUGGGGUGGAAAGCCUUGUGCGGCUGAGGAUGGGCCCGCGGCCUAUCAGCUUGUUGGUGGGGG